AGUGAACGCUGGCGGUAGGCCUAACACAUGCAAGUCGAACGGCAGCACAGUAGGAGCUUGCUCUUACGGGUGGCGAGUGGCGGACGGGUGAGGAAUACAUCGGAAUCUACUUUUUCGUGGGGGAUAACGUAGGGAAACUUACGCUAAUACCGCAUACUACCUACGGGUGAAAGCAGGGGAUCUUCGGACCUUGCGCGAUUGAAUGAGCCGAUGUCGGAUUAGCUAGUUGGCGGGGUAAAGGCCCACCAAGGCGACGAUCCGUAGCUGGUCUGAGAGGAUGAUCAGCCACACUGGAACUGAGACACGGUCCAGACUCCUACGGGAGGCAGCAGUGGGGAAUAUUGGACAAUGGGCGCAAGCCUGAUCCAGCCAUACCGCGUGGGUGAAGAAGGCCUUCGGGUUGUAAAGCCCUUUUGUUGGGAAAGAAAAGCAGCAGGUUAAUACCCCGCUGUUCUGACGGUACCCAAAGAAUAAGCACCGGCUAACUUCGUG
rnacentral:rRNA from 1 species